GACGAACGCUGGCGGCGUGCUUAACACAUGCAAGUCGAACGGAAAGGCCCUGCUUUUGUGGGGUGCUCGAGUGGCGAACGGGUGAGUAACACGUGAGUAACCUGCCCUUGACUUUGGGAUAACUUCAGGAAACUGGGGCUAAUACCGGAUAGGAGCUCCUGCUGCAUGGUGGGGGUUGGAAAGUUUCGGCGGUUGGGGAUGGACUCGCGGCUUAUCAGCUGGUUGGUGGGGUAGUGGCUUACCAAGGCUUUGACGGGUAGCCGGCCUGAGAGGGUGACCGGCCACAUUGGGACUGAGAUGCGGCCCAGACUCCUACGGGAGGCAGCAGUGGGGAAUAUUGCACAAUGGGCGGAAGCCUGAUGCAGCAACGCCGCGUGCGGGAUGACGGCCUUCGGGUUGUAAACCGCUUUCGCCUGUGACGAAGCGUGAGUGACGGUAAUGGGUAAAGAAGCACCGGCUAACUACGUG
rnacentral:rRNA from 1 species